AACGAACGCUGGCGGCAGGCCUAACACAUGCAAGUCGAGCGAACCGCAAGGUUAGCGGCGGACGGGUUAGUAACGCGUGGGAACGUGCCCAAAGGUACGGAAUAGCCUCGGGAAACUGAGAGUAAUACCGUAUGUGCCCGAAAGGGGAAAGAUUUAUCGCCUUUGGAUCGGCCCGCGUUGGAGUAGGUAGUUGGUGGGGUAACGGCCUACCAAGCCGACGAUCCAUAGCUGGUUUGAGAGGAUGAUCAGCAACACUGGGACUGAGACACGGCCCAGACUCCUACGGGAGGCAGCAGUGGGGAAUCUUAGACAAUGGGGGAAACCCUGAUCUAGCCAUGCCGCGUGAGCGAUGAAGGCCUUAGGGUUGUAAAGCUCUUUCACCGGGGAAGAUAAUGACGGUACCCGGAGAAGAAGCCCCGGCUAACUCCGUGCCAGCCGCCGCGGUAAGAC
rnacentral:rRNA from 1 species